rnacentral:rRNA from 1 species
UACGUAGGGUGCGAGCGUUGUCCGGAAUUAUUGGGCGUAAAGGGCUCGUAGGCGGUUUGUCGCGUCGGGAGUGAAAACACGGGGCUUAACCCCGUGCCUGCUUCCGAUACGGGCAGACUAGAGGUAUGCAGGGGAGAACGGAAUUCCUGGUGUAGCGGUGAAAUGCGCAGAUAUCAGGAGGAACACCGGUGGCGAAGGCGGGUCUCUGGGCCGUAACUGACGCUGAGGAGCGAAAGCAUGGGGAGCGAACAGG